AUUGAACGCUGGCGGCAUGCCUUACACAUGCAAGUCGAACGGUAACAGCACUUCGGUGGCUGACGAGUGGCGAACGGGUGAGUAAUACAUCGGAACGUGCCCGAGAGUGGGGGAUAACGCAGCGAAAGCUGUGCUAAUACCGCAUACGAUCUACGGAUGAAAGCAGGGGAUUCGCAAGGACCUUGCGCUCAUGGAGCGGCCGAUGGCAGAUUAGGUAGUUGGUGGGAUAAAAGCUUACCAAGCCGACGAUCUGUAGCUGGUCUGAGAGGACGACCAGCCACACUGGGACUGAGACACGGCCCAGACUCCUACGGGAGGCAGCAGUGGGGAAUUUUGGACAAUGGGCGAAAGCCUGAUCCAGCCAUGCCGCGUGCAGGAUGAAGGCCUUCGGGUUGUAAC
rnacentral:rRNA from 1 species